CUGUCGUGCACUCACUGCCGCACGCCGGAAUGUUCACUAGAGUGUACCUGUGCUUGUGUGGUGACUGUUAUCAAAACGAUGUUUAGAGAGAUAAUUUUUAAAUACACACACCGUCUGCCUUUGGAUAGAGUGGGAUCAGACGGGCAAUUUAUUUUACCACAGUAGACAAUUAUUCUUAAUUGAGUGUUCAAAAUUGGACUUUUAAACAACAGAUUUAUCGGUUAAACGGACUGGACUGCAAUGAUUAAUUCAAGCAACUUUCAGGCGUCAGCCGGUCGUCAGUUGUCAAAGGACUCCGGAUGCAUCCAUGCGGAAAACCGUUCCGAAUUCAACGCCAUGCAUAAUUGAUUAAAUCUUUAUUCAUCGCGACAUCUCUCUGAAGCGCUUUCAAAGUGAAUAUGAUUUGAAUAUAAAUUAAUUAAACUCUGCAUGUAUACUAGGAUCAUGCAAUGAUACUGUAACAAAGUUGAUGUAAUACAUUCAUCACAUGAAUAAAAUAUGCAUAAGUAAGUA